UACGUAGGGCGCAAGCGUUGUCCGGAAUUAUUGGGCGUAAAGAGCUCGUAGGCGGUCUGUCGCGUCUGCUGUGAAAACGCGGGGCUCAACCCCCGCGCCUGCAGUGGGUACGGGCAGACUAGAGUGCGGUAGGGGAGACUGGAAUUCCUGGUGUAGCGGUGGAAUGCGCAGAUAUCAGGAGGAACACCGGUGGCGAAGGCGGGUCUCUGGGCCGUUACUGACGCUGAGGAGCGAAAGCAUGGGGAGCGAACAGG
rnacentral:rRNA from 1 species